GUUUGAUGCCAAAUAUUUACAUACAUGUAUGUAAAUUGUGUCAAAGGUGUCGAAAUUGUUAUGUUUGUGUUUAAAAAGAUUCAUCGGAGAAGAUUAUGAUGGACGAACAACAAACGUUUAUAAUUACCAGUAUCACAACUGCUUCAUUGAGCGAGGGGAUAAUUUAAACCUGUACACAUGAAAACAAUCAUCGGGCUUUAUGAGUGCUUUGUGUAUAGUUAAACACGAACAAACUAGUUUUUCCUUAUUUGAUUAUGAAACUAAACCAAAGAAUACAAUAACUUCUCAUUAUCAAUGAACCAUCAGGAUAUGACCUAUUUCUUACAGUAUAAGGGAAAUAGACAUACCAUUGAAAAUGAAACGUUAAUGAACAAUACACAAUAAAAGAAGAUGAAAAGGUUAUGUGAAAAAACUCUUCAUGACAAACAUGCACAUCUGACAAUGUUUAUAUAAACCAAAUAUAGUGACCUUAUUGCUUAUAGUUUAUGAAAAAUGUACAUAAUGAUCAUAACAAAGUUAAACUUGCCAAUAAUAGAGAGGAAAAGAUACAAGAGGGACAGUCAAACUCAUAGAUCGAAAAUAAACUGACAACACCAUGGCUAAAAACGAAAAAGACCAACAGACAAAUGAUAAUACACAUGACACAACAUUGAAACUAAAAACUAAGCAACACGAAUCCCACCAAAAACUGGGGUGAUCUCAUGUGCUCCGGAAGGGUAAGCAGAUUCUGCUCCACAUGUGGCAGCCGUCGUGUUGUCAUGUUUAUACAAUAAAUUAGCAUAAUAUAUGAGGUUAUGGUAUAAAAACCCUGCCCGACAGAAGUGUACACAUUAUAAUAAUUUAUUGCAC
rnacentral:lncRNA from 1 species